rnacentral:misc_RNA from 1 species
GCAGCAGCAGCUCCCGAUCCACCGCCGCAACCUCCACCUCCUCCUCCCUCGCCGCCUUUACCAUGUCGGGAAGGAAGAAGGUCCGAGAGCCGAAGGAGGAGAACGUGACGCUCGGCCCGACGGUGAAAGAUGGGGAGCACGUGUUCGGCGUCGCUCACGUGUUCGCUUCCUUCAACGAUACGUUCAUUCAUGUCACGGAUCUGUCCGGGAGAGAGACUCUUGUUCGAAUCACUGGUGGUAUGAAGGUCAAAGCAGACAGGGAUGAGUCAUCCCCUUAUGCUGCCAUGCUUGCAGCGCAAGAUGUUGCACAGAGAUGCAAGGAGCUUGGGAUUACUGCUCUGCAUAUUAAGCUUCGGGCUACUGGUGGGAAUAAGACAAAGACCCCUGGUCCUGGUGCUCAAUCUGCCCUUCGAGCGCUCGCUCGGUCUGGAAUGAAGAUUGGCCGCAUUGAGGAUGUCACUCCAAUCCCGACUGAUAGCACUCGCCGAAAGGGCGGGAGAAGGGGAAGAAGGCUGUAGUUUUCAUGACUUCCUACUCCUUCAAGGAAACAGGUCUUUUCGAAGGAUUGUUGCUGGGUUUUAUGUUUUAUCCUAUCAAUGGAUUUUUGAGUUAUUUGUGGUGAUUUAGUAGCUGGAUUUGGUUGCCAUAUGUUUGUGGACUUACAAUCGUUAUGUUGGUGCUAUGAAUUAUGUU